GUUGUUUCAUCAAUCUUUUGAACGUUUUUUUCCCCCACCUCUUCACUUAAUAUUUGAUCUAUUUCCUGCUUAGUUUUUGCUCAUUUGGAAUACCACUGUGUGGUCUAUCCGAAGAAUGUUUGCUUACUCUAAAUCUCUUAAUCUUCACUGCCGUUUAGUCCGUUUUUCAGCUUUUGCCUUAUGUAAUGAAACACAUCCUCACGAUAAGAUUCCCCCUGGGAACAGCUUGGGCUGCAUCCCACAGACGUUCAGGUUCACAUCCCCACUAUCAUUGUCAUCGCAUUUUGGUUUCCUUCUCAGCCUCGUGCCACCGUUCAUAUCCUUUUUUUCCCCUUGUUCUUGUCCCCACUCGUUAUGGAAGCAAGCCUAAGUCGUUUCUGCAAGUAAGAAUUCAAAUAAACAUUUGCGGCUGAUAAUUUGGACCGCAGUCACUACGCUGCCAUCUUGUCACACCAAAGUCUGCUCUGUUGUGAGUUAAUUGUUCAGUUCCCUUGACAAGUGUUACUAGUAUUUGUUACAAACAAACUUGCCACGCUUUGGAUGAUACAAUUGGGUUCCAGUCGGCAUCUUUUUUGGAAAUGGGGCAUUUGUUCGGAUGAUUACUUAAUUACGUCACUGGCUGGUGAGUGUCGCAUGGAUGUUGCCCAAAGUGGUUUGGAACUGUGGCCUUCUUAAAGCAUUUUUAUGUUGUUUUUAAUUCGAAUUUACACCCCAUUAGAUUUGAGGAAUCAUUUGUCAUAUCACUUUUUGAUGUUUCUUCAAAAAGCCUGCCCUUUUCUAAACUAUUCUUCUGGUUGUUCAUGUUUGGAUUUGUGAGAGCAAGGAUUGUGAAACAAUCCAUCAAUUUGUCAGCUAAACUUGUUCUUAUCUGGACUGAGAGAGUCAAGGUCAAUGCAAUGUUACCUCACCUGUUUUUGUGACAUAUCUGUCUGACAUGCUCGCUGACACUAGUUGACUUGUAAAAUAUUUCACUUUGAGCUAUGCUUGUCAUAAACUGUUACAUUUCAAUAGAUGACUGUUGGAGGGUAUGAUGGGAUAAGCUACUGAAAAAAAAAAGAAAUCAUUCGCUCAUCGUAAUUUAUUUUUUUCCAAGUUGCCUCUCGACAUUCAGUGUCAACAAUGCUUCUAUAUUGUCCUGUAGUGUCUGGUCAGACCAGUUAUUUAAUUUACUGGUUGUUCUUAAUCAGCUUUAAGUUUGUCCUUUUAACAUUAACUGAAUUAAGACUGUGUUGUUUGUAGGCAUCCACCGAAAUUCAAAUUCAGCCGCCAAAAAUCUUCGCCCGGAAUUUGCAUUUUCAGUUUUGGUCUGAAAGACUUUUGUUCCUCAAGCAACACAACUAAUACGGAAUGUUGUGAUGAUGCAAGCAUGCACCGACGGCCUGCUGAGCUGAAGGUGGUGUGUUGACACGGAGAAACGAGCCGGGGAUCAAAAAUUCCUUCACAGCAGCAGCCGGUCAUUGGCCGGAGAGGAGAAGGCUGCUUGUCUGCGGCUCGCCGUGGGCUGCCCAUCCAGUGACUGUGAAAGUGCUGUGGUUACAGAUGUCAAUAUGUGCAGUGUGUAGAGUCUCAUCUGUCUUUUUGUGACUUCCGAGGUCCUCAACCCUCCAUUUUCGUGUUAACGCCUCCCACCAGAAAUCAAGGAGACGAGGAUAUUGACUGAAGAGUGAGGCAGGAGGAGGGAAAUAUGUUGACAGAAAUGAGACAAUCGUUAUUUGUUGAGACUGCAACUAAAAGCAACCUCACAUCAUAGACUUGUGCCACGAAUCAAGCUUCUCUGUGGGUUGAUUAUUUUGAUCGCCACACAUCUUCAAUUUGCUUCAUGAGGGCCUAAAUUCCAGUCAAGCAUUAUCAACAGUGUUACUCUUCAUAGUUUUGCACAUGCACCAUCACCAUCCCAAGCACGUCUCCCUCCUAAUAGCCUUCGAGCGCAGUAUAUCUUUGGAUACACUAUGGACUAUGUAUAUCAGGGGUGUCAAACUAAUUUUUGUCAUGGGCUACAUUUUAGUUACCGUUUCCCAUGGAGGGUCGUUAUGACUGAAACAAAAUUUAAAAAGUCAAUAAUGGUUUAAUUAAUAAAUAAAUCGGGGGCAGGGGAAUAAUAAAUUCACAUAAACAUAGUUGUUGAAUACAACAAUUGUUUUAAGUUACUGUAGUGAGGGGGUUGGUGUAUUCUAAAACAAAUAAAUGUAUAUUUUUAGUAAAUUAAUGAACGAAUGGCAGUAUCUGUGGAUUAACUAUUGAAUUUAAUGCACAGAUCAUCAUCCAUCUGUUUUUUUUGGGGAGGGGGGGGGAGAAAUACAGUAUUAUAAUUUGUUUUUGGAGUUUUGGGCACUGGGGUUCUCAUUUCCACCAAGAAUUCUCAUUUCAGUGCCUACUUAGUUGUUUCUAAACUUAUCAGUUGACACUGUAAACAAGAGCACACAGUAGCACAAAGUUGUGAAAGAAAAAGUAGAGCGGAGCAUGACUGUGCAAAAAACUCCUGUCUCUCACUGUUAUAUCGAUAUCGACAUAAUGUUUUCGCCACAUGUAUCCUAUGUGAGGAGGCUGAUUAUUUCAGUCAAAUACACAGUCAGGAUCUGUUUGGCUUUUUGCGUAAACAACUCAUUGGCUUGUUUUGUCAUGACAAAGAUGGAAAUGCGCAUGGAGAGAACCACAAAUAGAAAGAUGUUGCUGCGUAGAAUCUGGAAGAGAUAGAGUCUCGAUUGAUGUGUUGGAAAACUGAAGUAAGGAAAUGAGUAAUACACAGAAUGAAGGAGAAAGUGCUGUCUUGUCAUUAUCCGUAGCUUUUUUUUUCCAGGAUUGAAGUGUAGCAGAGCUAGUGAACGAGACAGAAAAUUGGAAUGAGAGAGAGAGAGAGAGAGAGAGAGAGAGAGAGAGAGAGAGUUCUUUCUGCUCUGUCUGGCCUCUCUCCCAUAGCAACAGCGACUUAGCCACGUGAAGGCCAGUUCCUUUGAGUUCACCCGCUGCACACAAUUUAACCCCCUUGCUGCCGGAUUACAGCGCAAUAGAGCAGCGCAGCAAGAACAGAAUUACAGACGCUUGAAGAUACUGUCUGAUAUGAUCAGGUUUUAACUGUAAUUAGCAUUAAAUCUUAUUUCAUAUUUUAAAAGCAAUAUAGAGGAUUCAUUUUGUAGUCGACUCAACCUUCUGCAGUGCUUUCACAUCCUUAGCCGGACCAACAUGCCAUGCACGAAACAUAAAAUAACAGUCAUACAAUCAUAAAUAACGGAACAAAAUCUUCGCCAUUCAUAAUACACCACAGCUCCUCUCACUUUGGCAUGACGCAGACAGGAGCUGCAGAGAUUUUUCUUCCCUUUGGUUGCUCUGUUAGGAGGUCGAGGGAGGAAAGAUUUAAGUCUACCUUUUUCAUACGUUACAAAGUGCCUCACACAAGGACCCGAACACACACGUGCACGUAAACCAGCGGUGUCCAACUCCGGUCCUCGAGGCCCGCUUAUGCUUCAUGUUUUUAGAUGUUUCCCUCCUCCAAACCACCUGAUUCAAAUGCUCUCGAUCUUGAUCAGGCUUCUGCAGAGGUUGCUGAUGAGCUGAUCGUUGGCAUCAAAUGUGUUGGACUCAAUCAAUCAGUUCCUCAAUCAAACUAAACAAACAACUGUAAUUUUCCAACCGCCAAAAGCUUGACAAGCGAGCUCUCGCUAGCAAGGCGGCUCAGGGAGCAGACACCAUGCCCCUCACACUUCCCCACUACUCGAAAACCCUCCGUCUGCUCUUUGCCGGGCGUCUGCAACCGCAGGCAAAGGCGAUUUGGUCGUAGGGCUGGAAGGGAUUAAUUCUAUUUCCACUCAUUUGAAAUGGAAAUUUCAGUUUGCAAACAUCUCGGUUCACAAGCACAGUCGCGAAACAAAUUAGGUUUGUGAACCGUGGUUCCUCUGUAUUCAGUGACUGCUCCAAAAUCAACUUCAUGACUACAGUAUUAUAAUGUACUUCAAGAUAUUGAAAUAUAUUAUAAUAUUUCAAUAAUUCAUCUCCUCAAAGUACAUUUCUAUCUCUCUUUAAUCCGCCUAACCUGCUAAAAAUUCUGCCCCACAACUAGUGUUCUCCUUCCUUUGCAUCCAAUCGCUCAUAUAAACGCAUCGUAUACCGUAUUUUCCACACGAUAUAAGGCACACUUAAAAGCAUUCCAUUUUCUCAAAAUCCGACAGUGCGCCUGAUAAUCCGAUGCGCUUUCUAUAUGGAUCAAUAUUCAGAUUUCUUGGACGUAGUGUUUUAAAUGUUUUACAUGUUCUAUAAAGUGUUUUUUUACAGCUGCAGCAGUUGUGAAAGCGCUGUAUUAAUAAACCUGGAUUGUAUUGUUGCUUUCACUGAAUUGGCUCUUGAAGUCUUGUGCCACCAGCCACUCUCUUUGACCUAUUAAUAUAAUCUUUGUAAUGGGGAGAAAUCAGCCCAGAUGAUUAUCAGCAUCGAUAUUGGGAAUUUUGACGGUGUCAGCCUUUUUUUGUUUAAUUUUUUGGUUUUAAUCUGCAGACCAUUCCGAGGUCAGUUUAAUAUUGGGUAAACCUCUGGGAGUUAUCACUGAUGAUACUAAUAACUCUCUGCACUUUUAACUUUUAACAUUAUUAAGUUUGACUGAGAUUUUCAAAGUUGAAUCACUGGAGAAAACUUUAGGGAGCUAUUCAUCUGUAGAAGUUUUCAUUGAACUUUCUGCGACAUGCUGCUGAGCCUGGGAGCUCCUUGCACUUUUUUUUAGAAUUUGAAAACAAAGAUGUCUCAUGUGGCAGAUAAAAAGAAAAAUAAUUAGCAAAGCUGAAAAGCUGUUUAAUCAACAUGAUUUAAGGCAGUCAAACAAAGUGUUGGAGUUUGUGUCAUUAAAACAUUUUGACACACAUUUUACUUUUCACUGCUAAUGAACUCCAAAUAUCAGUUAUUGGCCUCCUUGACAACAAAUCAAUAAUAGCCUUGAAAAAAGACCUGUCUCUACUUUAUAAAAACCUGAUCCAACUCUCUUCAGAACGUAUUCCCCUACAGCUCACAUCCCACCCAAGGGGCAUAACGGCUAACAGAAUGUCAUUCACACAAUUUCUACCUUAACAAUCAUCAACUUGUAUUGACUCUCAUUUCACCUUGACAACAAUCUUUUUUCAGAAUAACUCCUACCCCACAUUCAUCCUACUAUGCAGAUAGUCAGAAAGAAGCUUGAACACUCCUCCAGUGCUUCUAACCUUGUCACCCUUCCAUCUGGUCUCUCGUGCACACAAAAAUGAAUACCCUACUGCUCUGUUGUUAACACUUGGACCGAUCCGGUAUAGAAGUCAAGUUUGUGAUUUGCAUGUUUGUUUUGGACAACAUUUGAUGCCGUAAGGCCGUCUGGAAGCAACGCUCACCAUUUUUCAUGGUCGGUGACCGAGACCUGAAAUACACUGGCUUGUGACUCCCAAGUUGCUGGCUUAGCAAUACAAUAUAUAUUUUUUAUUUUGUAUUUUAUACAUAGGGCAACUCAAUGAGCUUCACACAGCCAAAAGGCACAAAACCUGGAAGCUUCAACAAAACAAGACAUCGUAAAGCAUGACAGUUUUAGUGUUUAAUUUUAUGAUUACUGAGAUCAUCUGUGUCAAACUCAAGGCCCGGGGGCCAGAUCUGGCCUGCCAGGUCAUUUUAUGUGGCCGGCGAAAGCAAAUCACGCGUGUCAACUUAAUCAAACACAAAAUGUCAAAUUGUCAUGUGUAAAAAAUAACGUUGAGAUUGUGCAAUAAUUUUGUUACCCUGUUUACACUCACUUGAACAAUAAUUGAACAAACUAUUGUAAUUGACUUGACUGAUUUCAAAACUAGUAAUCUAUUCAUUUGUUGUGUACAAGUAAUCAUUUUGUGGUUUCACUGUCAUAACAGCCCUCCGAGGGAAGAACUCUCAAUUGGUCCGCGACUAAAAUGAGUUUGACACCCCUGACUUAGAUUGUGCGAUAAUAUCCUCCUAUGGUGGCCCUCACAUUAAGGAUUAUUUUCCCACCGUUUUCCCAGCCCCCCAAAAAGAAUUAGGAGGUAUAAAAGGUUGGCCCCAUAUUCAGUACUUGGAAUGCCGAAGGUUUCUGUGUACAGUGGCUCUCAGAAGCUCAUAUUGCUGAAACCAUGAGUAGACUUGGUAUUUGACAAGUCUCAGCUGGAAUGCUAUCCACAAUUAAACAAGCUAACUCUUGUUACAAAUAGUUAAGAACUCAUUUCAGUGCUCACUCUGGCUCGCUCUCAACAACCAUCUCUUUCUUUUGCAGUUGUGUGUUGUACUUAUCCUCAAAUAUACCUCUUAUUUUUUGUGUUGCAUCAGUGUCACUAAUUAAAAUUGUGUGAACAGAGGUUUCUCUUAUAGUGGGUCAUUAACUCUUUCAGGUACAGCGGUUACUACAGUAGACAGCUUAUCAUGUUAUUAGGUUACAGGGUAAAGGAAAGGGUUAAAGUUUGAAUGCCCUCAAAUGUUGUACAAUUGGGUGUUUGGGAGAGAUUUUCACGCAGUGCAUUUGAUGUGCAUCUCAUUUGACCUCUUCUGUGUGUUCUUCUGCUAUGUGCUGCUGUCUGCUAAUCAUGAGAAGGAUUAAUUGAGGUUAUUGUGUUGUUUUUCUUUUUUGUGACAAUGUUUCAAAAGGAUGACGAGAAAAGAGAGAUUUUAAGUGAGAAGUAAAGAAAGAAUAUUUUCUGACAUUUUCUAAGAAGAAGCCAACUUGCAGAUUUCGGUUCUGUUCACCGAUGUUUGGCGCUGUUGCUAAGUCUGUAAAUUGGUAGUUAAUGUUUUGCUCCUCUUCCUAUUAGCUUGAUCGGAUGUUAGAUUGAUCAGCUUUUGAUCAACAGCGGGCCUCCAGGCAAGGCUGUGGCCGCCCACGAUGUAACGUGGUGGGCUAUGCGUGCACCGACAGGACGCGGAGGUGAACCCAACAAAAUACUGCAUUAUAUUUGACUGUUUAUGUGCCUUUAAGAGGAGGGACCUGGUAUGGCGACAUGUGACGUUAAUGGGUCUGGAUACAUUUCUGUGCGUGAACGUUGGCUACAGAGCUCGUAUGAGCGUGUUCAUGAUUUACCAUUCUAAAUAAACGGCUGAACGGUGGCUCUCCUUUCCCACGCGAGGGCAUUACAGUCAAAACACAGCAAAGCGGAAGGGCUAAUGAUAACCCGCGAAAUAGUGGGGAAACUCUGCUCAAUGAGCGAUGGACAUUUCACUACAUCUCCAAAGGCGAGUAAACAAUCAAUUGUUCAACACAUCGAUUUAAUGCAAGACUCUUUUUUACAUUUUAAUCAUAAAUUAUCCGGAAGAACCAACAAGAGAUUUACCAGGAAUUAUUGUUGUCCAACGUAAGUUUUCUGCCGAUGUGUGCUGCUGUGUAUCAUCAAAUAAAUAAACACGCAGCAAUGAAUUCUGACAUUAGAAGAGACAAACUAUGGAUCACAAGUUCUUGAUUAAUGUUUUGAAUAGUUCUGUGUCAUAUUUGUGGAUUCACUUGGCAGUGGCAGCCAGUCUUUCCAAUGUACUGUCGUAUCUUCCCACAAUUUGUCUUGUCAGGCACCAGGGCAAGUUACAUAUCCUGACUUCCAUGGUGGUGUUUUGGAGGAAGAGCAAUUUGAAAGAAAACAAAACAGCAAAUAAAACUUGACAUGCCUUGAGGGGAAAACUGCUGUUAGGAGUGCCCCUCAACUACACAUACACACACAUGCACACAAAGGUAUGUGUAGCACAGCAGGCCUUGCGGUAUAAUGAGAUCUGUAAAUGGAUAAAGAAGCACUGUUGUGAUGAUAAUUUGUCUUUGUGUUGGGGCUGUGCGAUUUGGACACAAUUUCCUAUGUCAAUAUUUUAUGAGAUAUCUCGAUUAGGAAACGAGAACAUUGCUACUAUGAGUUAAGUGAGAGCUAAGCAUUACAGUGGUACCUGUACUUAUGAAAUUAAUUGGUUCGGGAAGAAAUUUCUGAACUAGAUAUUGUAAGUAGAGACGCGUUUUCCAAGUAAAUGCCCUAAUCCGUUCCAAUCUCCCAAAAUUCAGACAUAAAUGUUUCCUAAAGCAUAAAAAUACAUCAAAAUAUUUAACAAAUACAUUUUACAAUUAGAUUAUUGCACAAUAAAUGAGAGUUGUGUGUAAUGCAAAAAAAAAAAAAGAAUAAAAAUGAUGCCCAUUUAACUGUUAACUGCGUCUUCAUCGUUUUUUUUUUGUUGCCCUCUUUAGUUCAUGUUGUCUCUCUGAAGUGGAUUUUGCCUGGCCUUUUGUAAAGAACUGAGAAAAGGACAUCUGCUUUUGUCGGCUUUUAAAAAUCCUUCAAAAAUGUCCAAUGCAAACAUCAACGGAGUGAGCGAUCCCCCGACGAGUGAACACUUUCUGGGGAUUCCAAUUUACACAAAACACCUCAUGACCCGAGAGGCGAAUGACGAGGACGCCGCAUAAACACACAUCUAUCUAUCGACACAGACACAUACGGUAGCGGUACCGGGAAUAGCCAAUGGCAGAGUAGCUACAAGUAUGUUCAUUCAGGAAACUCAGAGCUGCAAGUAGCAACCAUACUGUAGUUUUACCUUUCUUGAAAUGUAUUUUGUAACUAGAGGCAAUAUUUUCCUGUUGAGGCGUUUCGUAACUUAAACAUUUUGUUUGAAGAGAUGUUCGUAAGUAGAGGUACCACUGUACAUGUCAGUAAAAUAUUCCUGACACGACUCCGCGGCUUUCAAACCUUUCAAACCUGCCUAAGUCGCGGUACCACUGUAUUUUGUUUGAAAAAGAAAAAGCAAAAUAUCAUUCCAAAUUGAUGAGCUAAGUGCACAUUUUUUGUUGUUGUUUAUUGGAACAUACUGAUAGUCAUCAACUAUACCUGGGCGAUAUGACGUUAUAUAUCACAAAGAUGAUAGAUGACAUGGCAUUGUAUCACUUUUUCUACGAUUGUGUUUUUGUCAUUUGGCAUCUGCAGCAAACUGCCUGGAAUGAAUAUGCCAAGUCAGCUUGAUUGGAUGGGCAAAAGCUUUCAUCUGUCAAUCGUAUGCCGCAUUCUUGCCACCAGUUGGCAGACUGAACAACAAUACAGGGAAUGAAUCACAAUGCGUAAUCACCGUACAUAAAAUUAGAAAAUGUGAACUCAAGAGUUUUUCUUUUAGUUUUUUGAGGUCUGCAAAAUGUUUGCAAAUUGACAUUACAGUAAAGUCCAUCUUUUGAUUUCAUUUUUAAAUGAAUUUUUGUUAGCAAUAUUAUUUUUACAAAUCUCCACCGAGCAUGGCCUCACUUCAGUGAGCGUGUGUCGCUUAUUGUGUUUGGCCUGGAUGUGUUUGUACAGAGAGUGGAUUUGGUUCCGUGUAAAGUCCAACGUUUCUGUUGACACUAUAGAAGCAAUAUUGUUGCGGCUUCGUGUUUUGCACUGUGCGUUCUGUUGACUCAAAUGUCAGUUGCGUCCUGGAGCAGCGCACCCAGAAAAAGAAAGAAAGAAAGGGAGGAAGAGAGAGAGUGUUGUGACAUUCAGCUUGUCCUAUCAGGGGUUCCCCACAGCAUGACACUUGCAUGAUUUAUUUGGCAGUUUUUAUACUGGAGUACUCUGUAAUGUAAACAAGAAAGCAAUACAGCUGUUUAAAACGAUUGAAACAGGAGUUAAAAAAACUUUAUUAGAAGAAUCUUUGUGAUAUGUGUCACUUUUUUCGUUAUGCUGCAACAUGUGAGUAAUUAUAACAACACUUUGGGCAUGACAAGUGUUUAAUGAUCAGGACAACAUUGGUGGCCAGAAGCCAGUUCGUUUCUUUCUCCUGUGUUGUAUUUUAUCCCGAUUUUUGUUGUUAUCGAAGAUGUCUUGUCAGAGAAUAUCAACACGAGCAGCUCCCAAUGCCCUCCGCGUUACCAUGCUUCACCGACGCCCGCUUCACCUACUGUGCCCCCCCCCCCCCCCCCCAAAAUGGUGCCCGCCGGUGGCCCUUCGGCAAAAACAUGCAUCGCAUAGGAGAUACGGAGAUGGACGAGAGCCGGCACUCAAGUGAAGUAACGUGAGAGAUAGCACAGAAAAAGACAAGGAGACUUGAACUGUUCAUAGAUCAUUAUGAGGAACGGACAACCCUGCACAUGUUUACAUUUGGCUUCCGUGGCUGCAGCAUGCGCUCGUGAAAUUGUCCUCAUAAUAGUCAGUUAUAUGGUCAUGUAUAUAAAACGUUGUUGAGGUGAGUUAAGUUUUACAAAUGUGCAAUCUUGCAGACAUUUAUCUUCAAACAGCUUGUCCUUAUUAGGGUUGCGGGUAACUCGAGCUCCUAGCGGACUUCGGGUUCACAUGUCACACAGACAAUCAAUCAUUCACACUCACAUUCACAGAAAUAGAUAAUUGCUGAUAUGCAAUUAACCUAAUUAUGAUGUUUUGGGGAGUUUUUGUAUUUAUUGUUGUUGUUUUUUUUACUCUUUCAGGGACAGCCGUUCGGACAGUGGACAGCUGAUCAUGCAUGUUAUCAGGUUCCAUAAAAGGGUUAAGAUAGAUUCCUUCAUUCUGAGGAGUGUAAGGUCAUUCUUAUGGUGAAUAGCAGGGCCUAAGUGUGUGUAUUUAUUCUACCCAAACAAGAUCUAAUGUCUUUGCAGGAUUGCACAUUUUGUCUUUAUGAAACAUUUGUGGGCCUUGAGGCAGGCCAGUCGGACUAGGCCUGUAACAUGAGCUUUUUUUCCCCCCAUGGGACUAUAUUGGAAAGGUUUCCUCACUACACGUCAGUCAGGGGAGCUUCCUUGAUGCAUUUGCAAGCUUGUAUUUCUAUGAUUAGGUAGGUCAACAAAUGUUGGUUUGAAAAUAUUCAAUAUUUGUCACCUAGUGUGUGUGUGUGUGUCUGACUGGUUUUUCUACAUGUGUGCUUAAACUUGCUUCAUGUUACAGUUGGCUUGCGUGUCUCUAAUACUCCACAACUUCGUCACUUCACUUGUUUGCAUGUCUCCGAGCGCAACCAAUUGAAGUCAGGGAGCAGUGAGCUCGUUUCUGCAUUGUUUGGUUCCACGCAGAGUGAGACUUGACCUUCACAGCAGAUGACUGAAUGGCUGCCAAAGACAUACAUGUGUGUGCACGCUCGCACACAUUAGAGAGCUAUACAAAUAUCUGCACUAACCUGUUCAUACUUCCCUCAGCCUCACAGUUUUCUCUGUGGGUGUCAACUGCAACCGACCUGUAUGAAUUUAGAGUAACUGUUACGAGCCUUUUACUCAGCUGGCUGUCGCAGAGUUGCAAAGCUCUUCAGUUGUUGGGGCACCCACUAGAGCACUGUCUCACAUUUCUGUAGUAUUUCGCAGCUCUUAGACAGCUUUUGCAUUAGGGCUUGCUGAUGUGCCCUAAAAGUACUUUUUUGGGGUGCUGAGUGGCAAAUAGAUAUUUCCUCAUAAGUGUGAAGUCCUCAACUUUGAGUCAAACAACAGGUGACAUGUUAACCCUUUCAUGCACCCUGUAACCUGAUAACAUAAACUGUCUACUGUAGUAACCGCUGUCCCUGAAAGAGUUAAACACUUAAAAACUUUUGUCGUACAGUGUGUUUUUAAAUAAAAAGGGAAGGACAAACAGUUCCUUUCCCUUGCUAUUUUGUGUUUAACCUUGUCAGUUUAGUGAAAGGGGUCCAAUUCCUGAGACGCUAGUCUCCGCUAGCACUUUAAUACCUAGCUUAGCGUCUGCUCCCGCAACCCCAAUUUGUCACCAGCCCCAACUGCUCAGCCUCUUUCCUCUAUUUCGCCGUGCUCAAUCAUCGUCGUUUUAAGCCCUUUUGUCAACCACAGAAACAUUGUUUCUUUGCUCAAUGUCUUCACUGUUAGACGACAAACUGUCUUGAAUGGAUUUCGAGUUGUAAGUUGUAAGACCCAACCCUGUUCCUCUUCUGGUUGAUUGAUUGAAGUGAUGUGUGUGUGUGUGUGUGUUAGGGUGGAGGCGACGUUCCUCGAAAAGUAGGCACAGUGAAAUGGAACAAGAACUCAUUAAAAUAAAUAUAGACUUUGAUUGAAGUUUUCAGAGCGUACAGUACACACAUGAACUUGGUACAAAAUGUAUUCACAUGGAAAUUUUGACAAACAGCUCUGGAUGCCACUCAUAUUAGGAAUGGUCUCAGUCCUACUAGUAAUUGAUUGUUAAGGAUUGUGUGGAAUUUGUUGUUGACGAAUGUUGUCUUACCGCAAUUGAGGCAACUAGCUGUGGUGAUGUGUUUUUACGCUCAACCAUUUUGUAACUCGCCAAGGUCUACCCACCAAACAUCCCCCUGGUUUUAUGCAGUGAAGAAAAAAGCGAUGAACAAUAAAAUAAAUAGACAAAGUUGGAAUAAAAACAAAGAGAGUAAAACGUCGGAACAGAAGAAAACUCCUUAAAAAGGGAUCUCAUUACAUAAUGUUAAUUUAGCAGCAUAGUCUGGUGUAAAUGUAAAUUCCGUGCGAAAAAACAAAAAUGAGAACAAAAAAAAAUGUCAAAAAAUAUUUAACUUUCCUGAUUGUCCACAGACUGACAGCCUGUUUUCAAAUCAUUAAAAAAAAAUAUUUUUUUGCGAUUGUGUAUUAUAUGUAAAGUAGGCGGAAUAGGUUUUCGCUUAAAUAAAAUUAACCUCUGGAAAAGAUGUGUGGCAAAUACAGUAUGCCAUCUUUUGUGAGAAGAGAAUAGAAGGGUCCGCAACCAGGACUGAAGAAAACACAUUUUAUGAGGUAAUCAAAGAGUCACUGUGAGUUGACGAUUACAACAUUUUCACCGCGAUUGAUUUUGUCAGAUUAUAUCGUUGCGGUAACAGACAUUUUCCUCGCUCUUUGUUUAUGAUAUUCACCUACAGUACUCGCGAGGUGCGAUUCCUCUUCGGUUUUUUAAAGCAUGCUUUCGUUUUCAUAGGUUUCAGUGCCAUUCACAAAUCUCUCCAAAAGUACACUUCCAGGAUUUCCACGCAGCCUCAGCUGUCCGUGAAUCAUGCCUCUUCAGGGUUUGCGUGUUCAUUCCCAGUUUACAUGAGGCGGGUGUGUCAGAAGUCGUGAGAAAACGAUCAAUAGAUAGGAGAUAAUAAGUGUUCAAGUCCAGGCGCAUAAAAAGGGUUGACGCAGCAAUGGGAGAAUAUGUCCCCGGGUUGUAUGUGCUAAUGCCUCAAUACUGAUCUGUUUGCCUAAUUUGAUCAUGUUGAUUUUGGUAUGCACUCGUGUGGUGUGUAAUCAGCUUUUAUAUACACUUGACACGGAGAACUGUCAUGAUCAUUGGGCUGAGCAUUGUUCGACCAAAACAACAGUGGUUUGUCAUAGUUUGAAUUUUAGUGAAGCAAAAAUCCAUUCAGGGCUGUAUUUGGUCUUCCCUGCGCUUCACAACUCCAAAUUUUCAUUCAACAAAAUCCUUAUGUAAUGUUGCUAUUUGAUCAUUUAGAUACAAGGUGAUUUGAGCAAUUUGUAUUGUACAUAGAUCAAACAACUGUGGGUGUGGGUGCGUGUGCGCGCGUGCGGGUGUGGGUGUGGGUGUGUGUCAGUGGCAGACGUUGUGUGCAUGCUCUCUGUUUACGAGCCAGGAAACAUGCAAUUUGAAACGGUGGGAUGGUGGAAUUUCAAGCCCACAUGCUGUAGCAGGAGACGAAGACACGUGAGCCAGUUGACCUCAAACCAUCUCGGAGUGAGAGAGAAAGAGAGAGACAGAGAGGCAAACAUCCACAGAGCAGUAGUCUCAAAAGAGAGAGCGUGUCGAGCAGUAUAGAAGAGAAUUGGAAUUGGAUUAUUUUUAACGUACCACCUGCUGUGUUUGUUUAUUUGUUUGUUUAUUGAACAUAUAAGCAAAUAACAGAAAAUAUUCCAUCAGGAAAUAAAAGAAAACAAAAGUGGUCAUGUCAUCAUUAAGCACGUUCAAAAGCGGGUAGGACGAAGUUAAAAAAAACAAAAAAAAAACGGAUCGAGUACUACCCUUUUGCUCUUUGUAUAUUUUCACUUCAUAUCAUAUUUGCAUAUUACAAAUAGUUCACCAAACGGAGUCGAAGUACAGUACACAGAUUAUUUUCUGAUUCUUGGUUUCCCUUCCCACGCUGGAGACUGCUGUGGAUAUAAAGUCUACACACUGUUUGCGAGAGAAAGAAAUGAGACCAAGAGAGAUAUAAUUAGAGAGCGAGAAUUAAUAGAUUUAAUGAAUUCCGCAACUCCGUUGGCGAAGCAAGGUUGGUUAUAAAACGUAUACUGCAGUACAAUAUAGAAAUAAGUGAGGACCCCCCCUCCCCCACUUAAUUAUGCAGAAAUAACAAUGUGUGUUCCCAGGCGAAUAACUGUGCAAUGUUUCAGACUUUUUGCAUAUGCCGCUGUCUGCUUUGGCAACUGCUUUGCAUCAUGGGAUGCAGUUGUAACCACGGUGAGCAUAAAUUAGGCGGUGCACUCACGCAGAGUCAAAGACUACAACUACACAGACUACAAGGGAAACAUCAGAUCUUGAAUCCUAAAAUUUUGGGUUGUUCAAAAAGACACAUUUUUGAUCUCCCUGGGUACAGGACAGGCAAUAAUAUAAUCCACGCAGUCGUAAAUUCCCUUUUUCCCUUUCUUGCUUCUGAAGAUAUUGAUGUACAAUUAUUGUGAGCCUUUUGUAUGUAAAGUUGUCAUCCAAUUGUAUGGAUGUCACGGCUCUCCUUUCUUGCGGAGCAAGGUUGGAUGGAAGUACCUUCACGCAAAAGAGCUGUUGACACUUUCACCCCGAGCUGCGCUGUCUUCGCUGCAGGCCGAUAGUUGUUCUCGAUGACUGAUUCUCUUGCGUUGUUCUAAAUUAUGAGGUAAUUUAGAUGAGCAGAAAUUCGGUGAAACGUCCUCGACAGCCAGAGAGAAUCAACAUUGCCUUGAUUCAACUUUUGCGAUUACCACAGAUGACUGGGCAUCCAAACAGACAUUCGCUCAGAUGACUUGUGGUUGCACAGGGGUUCCCAUACAGAGUUAUACACUUUUUUUUGUCAUGUGCAGAUGCCCAUUCAUUAAAAGUAUGACAAACUAUUUAUGGCUGUGGUUUUCAAACCGGAGAGCCAGCGCUGAGGGCUCUACAAAACAUUUUGCAUUAAAUUAUGGCGUAUCAUAAAGUGCAGCUCUUUUAUCGGUGAAAAAAACAAAACAAGCCAGACAAAUAUGUUUGCCAAUGACCACUUUGGAGAAACCUGGCAUUUGCGAUUGAGCGGUUUGGACCACUGGUCAAGACCCGCUUGGUCAGCGCGUCAACCUCACAGUGCAGACGUACCGGGGUCAAUUCCAGCGCUCUGUGGAGUUUGCAUGUUCUCCCUGGGCCUGCGUGGGUUUUCUCCGGGUACUCCGGUUUCCUCCCACAUUCCCAAAACACGCAUGACAGGCUGACUGAACACUCCAAAUUGUCCCUAGGUGUGAGUGUGAGCUUGGAUGGUUGUUCGGGUUCAGGGUUUCCCCCGCCUACUGCCCAAAGACGGCUGGGAUAGGCUCCAGCACCCCCCGCGACCCUUGUGAGGAUAAGCGGAUCGGAAAAUGGCUGGAUGAACGAUCCUAUCAACAUGAAUGCAAAUCAUUGUGGAUCUCUGUGCUGAUUUUUAUUUUCUCAUACGCAGUUGAUUUCAUGAGUUGCAUGUCACACUUUUUGCAUCACUGCACAAUCCAGUCAAACAUAUGUGGUGAAAAUGUCACAAACUCUUAUCAUUUGAUUAUGUAAUAUACUGCUUAUAUGCAACUUAUGUUGUUAUACUGCGUCUUACCGACUGAAUACUGUUACUCUGAUGCUCACUGCCGAGUUCUGUUACGUGCGGCACAUGGAAUGUCAGGUGGCUGUUUCUUUCACAUUUCAAAAUAAUGCACGGCAGGUUCAUGGAAUACUCAAAAUUGUUCCUCGGUCUGAGUGUGAGCGCGAAUGGUUUUUCGUCUGUGUAUCCUGCAAUUGGCUGGCGACCGGUUCAGGGAGUACCCCGCCUACUGCCCGAAGACAGCAUGAAUAGGCUCCAGCAUGCCAACGACCCUCGUGAGGAAAAAGCAGUUCAGAAAAUGAAUGGAUGGAAGUUCACUUAAGCCAAGAGCUGUAUGAUAUAACGAUAUAAAGUGUUUCCCCAUUUUCCUAGGUGAUACUUUCCAAUAACCGAACCACGAAAUAGCGAGGGAACACCACAUAACUGAGUGCAAUGUAAUAAAGUCUAAUGUACAAUAUACUCCUCUAUCAUUUACUAUUUAUCAUCACUUUGAUGUGUGGAAUGUUGCGGUAGCUCCGUUGCUGCACUAAUGUAGCAUCUGGGAUGGUCACACAACAUCCGCCUUUCUAUUAUGUCAUCCAUGGGUUUUACUCUCCAGACAAGACCUGUCAACACACACUUAAUCCCACCGUUAAGCCCUUUGCACACAUUAUUGAGUAGGGCACAUCACCCCGUCGUCAAAACCAUUCAUUGUGUAUGUGGUGUCAGUGCAGGGACCUCGGAAUGGAGCGCUGCUGGGCGACGUGGUGCAGCAAAAAAAAAAUGAAAAAAAGCA